GGAGAAGUGGCAGAGUUGGUCGAUUGCAUCUGACUUGAAAUCAGACGAGUCGUAAAGAUUCCGGGGGUUCGAAUCCCUCCUUCUCCG
rnacentral:tRNA from 1 species